rnacentral:rRNA from 1 species
UGGGGAAUUUUGGACAAUGGGCGAAAGCCUGAUCCAGCCAUGCCGCGUGUCUGAAGAAGGCCUUCGGGUUGUAAAGGACUUUUGUCAGGGAGGAAAUCCCUAGCGCUAAUACCGCUGGGGGAUGACAGUACCUGAAGAAUAAGCACCGGCUAACUACGUGCCAGCAGCCGCGGUAAUACGUAGGGUGCGAGCGUUAAUCGGAAUUACUGGGCGUAAAGCGUGCGCAGGCGGUUUGAUAAGCCAGAUGUGAAAUCCCCGAGCUCAACUUGGGAACUGCGUUUGGAACUGUCAGACUAGAGUGCGUCAGAGGGGGGUGGAAUUCCGCGUGUAGCAGUGAAAUGCGUAGAGAUGCGGAGGAACACCGAUGGCGAAGGCAGCCCCCUGGGAUGACACUGACGCUCAUGCACGAAAGCGUGGGGAGCAAACAGGAUUAGAUACCCUGGUAGUCCACGCCCUAAACGAUGUCAAUUAGCUGUUGGGGGUUAGAAUCCCUGGUAGCGUAGCUAACGCGUGAAAUUGGCCGCCUGGGGAGUACGGCCGCAAGGUUA